AGAAACGUCACUGUCAAAAAAUUUGUUUAGAGGGCGCUGUACCGGCGGCAGAUCCAAGAAUCAAGAUGACGUCCCAUGUCACCGAUGUUCUGCUCGCAAACACGGAUCUGUUGGAAAAGGAAGACCUGGGGACGCGCAUCGGCAAAUUAUCAACUCACAUUGAUGAGAUCAAGGGUGAAAUCUACCACGCCGUACACGAGAAGUAUGCCAACUACAGACCCACCAGGGACUCCACCCAGGAGCUACACAACAAGGUGCAGACACUGUCCACUGAGAUGCAGACUCUCAGCAAUAAGAUCAAGGUUAAACAACACGGUGACUCCACUGUGGAACCAGCCGUAUGAGGACCAGCUAUCCACCAAACAGACUAACACCAGGGAGUUUCUGAGGAAUUUAUCCAAGAUGCUGCAACGGAACAUUGGGGAGAUGCCUCCCUGGCUGAAGCAAGAAAGGAAGAACCACAGUGGGAUGGAAUGUGAGUUGGAGCCAAUUAAGCCAUCGCCAGAAUUAGAGAGCUAUCGCAACAAGUGUGAGUUUACCAUCGGCAAGAGUGUAGAUGGCAUCGGUCUUGACCCACAAGAUAACCAUUCCACCAGCACCUCUGACGUACCAGUGACUGGUACUGCCAUAAUGGAUCCUUAUCACUAUCUGACACAACAGCACUUCACCUCAGAGAUCUUCAAGAUUGAGAUCCUAAACCUCCCAAGACAUGUUGGAUUUGUGGUUCCCUGAAGUCCAUCCAGAUGAUCCCUAAUAAGACAGCAGACGGUACAGGCAUCAACUCCGACACCCUGGCCUUACAGGUGAAGACCCAUCCUGAGCUGAGGGACUAGCUUCAUGUCGUCACCUCUUGGGGGCCUUUGCCUGUCUACCCUGGGGUGGUCAACUCAGAAUUACCUGAGGAAGUACGUUACCUGUCUUCACGGAGGCUACGGUCUCGGACUGGACGAUUCUUGACCUGGAUCCUAAACCACAUGCAUAUCAGGGACGUCUGCUUCUACCCACGCUUCAUAAAACGAUGCAUGCCAUAGAUGCGUCAACAUGUCGCCUUCAAUUCUUGAUUCUAAGCAUUGCUUAAUAUUUAGUGUGGGAAAUCAAGAUAAAUAAGGGGUGGGGCUAGGUUGAUCAAGUGGGGGGGGGGGUUGAUUGUAUGCCCUAAGACCAAAUUUCUAGAGAUAAUUAUGCCAUUGUAUUGUAAGGUAUUUCUUCAAGGUGCAGUUUUAAACUUUCUUCACAGUUCGCUCUUUUAGUUUCAAGUAGUUUUGGUUUUUUUUUACCAAAACUCAUAACAAAUUGCAAGGGUUCAACCUAACAUUUCUUAUGAAAUUUGGCCAAAUCAGGACUUGCCUCCAAA